GACUCUGAUGCUGGGAAGGAUUGGGGGCAGGAGGAGAAGGGGACGACAGAGGAUGAGAUGGCUGGAUGGCAUCACUGAUUUGAUGCACCUGAGUCUGAGUAAACUCCGGGAGUUGGUGAUGGACAGGGAGGCCUGGCGUCUUGCGGUUCAUGGGGUCGCAAUGAGUCGGACACGACUGAGUGGCUGAACUGAACUGAACUGAAUCAUUAACCAGGAACUCUUUGUGAUACUAUUAUUACUUACAUUUUUGAGAUGGAGCAAUUGAGACCAUGUCAGUGAACAAUUUGCUGAAGUGGAGGAGUGAGGUUUCAACCCUAACAAUUGGGUGAAGAGAGUCCCCAGUAAGACGCAGAAGCCUUCUUCCCCUCAACCACGAACUUCACCACAGGACUUGAACUGUGAAGAACAAUGAGACAUCACACCACUGAUGGUGGGAAGCAAGAUCAUCUUUAGUGAAGAUACAGUGUUAUAGGUUUUAUUAAAUAAAAGUUACUCUAAGUGAAAAAGUUCAUUAUGUGGAAUUAAAUUCUAGCUUUGGGGUUUCAGAAAACCAACUACCGACUUUUUCU
ensembl:lncRNA